GGGUUGUGAGGUUAAGCGACUAAGCGUACACGGUGGAUGCCCUGGCAGUCAGAGGCGAUGAAGGGCGUGCUAAUCUGCGAUAAGCGCCGGUAAGGUGAUAUGAACCGUUAUAACCGGCGAUACCCGAAUGGGGAAACCCAGUGUGACUCGUCACACUAUCAUUAACUGAAUCCAUAGGUUAAUGAGGCGAACCGGGGGAACUGAAACAUCUAAGUACCCCGAGGAAAAGAAAUCAACCGAGAUUCCCCCAGUAGCGGCGAGCGAACGGGGAGGAGCCCAGAGCCUGAAUCAGCAUGUGUGUUAGUGGAAGCGUCUGGAAAGGCGCGCGAUACAGGGUGACAGCCCCGUACACAAAAGCGCAUGUGCUGUGAGCUCGAUGAGUAGGGCGGGACACGUGGUAUCCUGUCUGAAUAUGGGGGGACCAUCCUCCAAGGCUAAAUACUCCUGACUGACCGAUAGUGAACCAGUACCGUGAGGGAAAGGCGAAAAGAACCCCGGCGAGGGGAGUGAAAAAGAACCUGAAACCGUGUACGUACAAGCAGUGGGAGCCCCACCACUAAGCCAGUGGUGAACUCCACAUACGCAUCCUUUGCUGAGGAUACGGUUAACGGAGCGAAAGCGACGUUCAACCGCAAAAGAAGCAGAGGGGGCUUAGUGGUGGGGUGACUGCGUACCUUUUGUAUAAUGGGUCAGCGACUUAUAUUCUGUAGCAAGGUUAACCGAAUAGGGGAGCCGUAGGGAAACCGAGUCUUAACCGGGCGUUAAGUUGCAGGGUAUAGACCCGAAACCCGGUGAUCUAGCCAUGGGCAGGUUGAAGGUUGGGUAACACUAACUGGAGGACCGAACCGACUAAUGUUGAAAAAUUAGCGGAUGACCUGUGGCUGGGGGUGAAAGGCCAAUCAAACCGGGAGAUAGCUGGUUCUCCCCGAAAGCUAUUUAGGUAGCGCCUCGUGAAUUCAUCUCCGGGGGUAGAGCACUGUUUCGGCUAGGGGGCCAUCCCGGCUUACCAACCCGAUGCAAACUGCGAAUACCGGAGAAUGUUAUCACGGGAGACACACGGCGGGUGCUAACGUCCGUCGUGAAGAGGGAAACAACCCAGACCGCCAGCUAAGGUCCCAAAGUCAUGGUUAAGUGGGAAACGAUGUGGGAAGGCCCAGACAGCCAGGAUGUUGGCUUAGAAGCAGCCAUCAUUUAAAGAAAGCGUAAUAGCUCACUGGUCGAGUCGGCCUGCGCGGAAGAUGUAACGGGGCUAAACCAUGCACCGAAGCUGCGGCAGCGACGCUUAUGCGUUGUUGGGUAGGGGAGCGUUCUGUAAGCCUGUGAAGGUGGCCUGUGAGGGUUGCUGGAGGUAUCAGAAGUGCGAAUGCUGACAUAAGUAACGAUAAAGCGGGUGAAAAGCCCGCUCGCCGGAAGACCAAGGGUUCCUGUCCAACGUUAAUCGGGGCAGGGUGAGUCGACCCCUAAGGCGAGGCCGAAAGGCGUAGUCGAUGGGAAACGGGUUAAUAUUCCCGUACUUGGUGUUACUGCGAAGGGGGGACGGAGAAGGCUAUGUUGGCCGGGCGACGGUUGUCCCGGUUUAAGCGUGUAGGCUGGUUUUCCAGGCAAAUCCGGAAAAUCAAGGCUGAGGCGUGACGACGAGGCACUACGGUGCUGAAGCAACAAAUGCCCUGCUUCCAGGAAAAGCCUCUAAGCAUCAGGUAACAUCAAAUCGUACCCCAAACCGACACAGGUGGUCAGGUAGAGAAUACCAAGGCGCUUGAGAGAACUCGGGUGAAGGAACUAGGCAAAAUGGUGCCGUAACUUCGGGAGAAGGCACGCUGACACGUAGGUGAAGUGAUUUACUCAUGGAGCUGAAGUCAGUCGAAGAUACCAGCUGGCUGCAACUGUUUAUUAAAAACACAGCACUGUGCAAACACGAAAGUGGACGUAUACGGUGUGACGCCUGCCCGGUGCCGGAAGGUUAAUUGAUGGGGUCAGCGCAAGCGAAGCUCCUGAUCGAAGCCCCGGUAAACGGCGGCCGUAACUAUAACGGUCCUAAGGUAGCGAAAUUCCUUGUCGGGUAAGUUCCGACCUGCACGAAUGGCGUAAUGAUGGCCAGGCUGUCUCCACCCGAGACUCAGUGAAAUUGAACUCGCUGUGAAGAUGCAGUGUACCCGCGGCAAGACGGAAAGACCCCGUGAACCUUUACUAUAGCUUGACACUGAACAUUGAGCCUUGAUGUGUAGGAUAGGUGGGAGGCUUUGAAGCGUGGACGCCAGUCUGCGUGGAGCCGACCUUGAAAUACCACCCUUUAAUGUUUGAUGUUCUAACGUGGACCCGUAAUCCGGGUUGCGGACAGUGUCUGGUGGGUAGUUUGACUGGGGCGGUCUCCUCCUAAAGAGUAACGGAGGAGCACGAAGGUUGGCUAAUCCUGGUCGGACAUCAGGAGGUUAGUGCAAUGGCAUAAGCCAGCUUGACUGCGAGCGUGACGGCGCGAGCAGGUGCGAAAGCAGGUCAUAGUGAUCCGGUGGUUCUGAAUGGAAGGGCCAUCGCUCAACGGAUAAAAGGUACUCCGGGGAUAACAGGCUGAUACCGCCCAAGAGUUCAUAUCGACGGCGGUGUUUGGCACCUCGAUGUCGGCUCAUCACAUCCUGGGGCUGAAGUAGGUCCCAAGGGUAUGGCUGUUCGCCAUUUAAAGUGGUACGCGAGCUGGGUUUAGAACGUCGUGAGACAGUUCGGUCCCUAUCUGCCGUGGGCGCUGGAGAACUGAGGGGGGCUGCUCCUAGUACGAGAGGACCGGAGUGGACGCAUCACUGGUGUUCGGGUUGUCAUGCCAAUGGCACUGCCCGGUAGCUAAAUGCGGAAGAGAUAAGUGCUGAAAGCAUCUAAGCACGAAACUUGCCCCGAGAUGAGUUCUCCCUGAGACUUUAGGUCUCCUGAAGGAACGUUGAAGACGACGACGUUGAUAGGCCGGGUGUGUAAGCGCAGCGAUGCGUUGAGCUAACCGGUACUAAUGAACCGUGAGGCUUAACCUUACAACGCCGAAG
rnacentral:rRNA from 1 species